UACGAGGGGGGCGAGCGUUGUUCGGAAUUAUUGGGCGUAAAGGGUGCGUAGGCGGUUUGGUAAGUCUUAUGUGAAAUCUACAGGCUCAACUUGUAGUCUGCAUGAGAAACUGCCGGGCUUGAGUGUGGGAGAGGUGAGUGGAAUUCCUGGUGUAGCGGUGAAAUGCUUAGAUAUCAGGAGGAACACCUGUGGCGAAAGCGGCUCACUGGACCAUAACUGACGCUGAUGCACGAAAGCUAGGGGAGCAAACAGG
rnacentral:rRNA from 1 species